rnacentral:rRNA from 1 species
GACGAACGCUGGCGGCGUGCUUAACACAUGCAAGUCGAACGGAAAGGCCCUGCUUUUGUGUGGUGCUCGAGUGGCGAACGGGUGAGUAACACGUGAGUAACCUGCCCUUGUCUUUCGGAUAACUUCAGGAAACUGGGGCUAAUACCGGAUAGGAGCUCCUGCUGCAUGGUGGGGGUUGGAAAGUUUCGGCGGUUGGGGAUGGACUCGCGGCUUAUCAGCUUGUUGGUGGGGUAGUGGCUUACCAAGUCUUUGACGGGUAGCCGGCCUGAGAGGGUGUCCGGCCACAAUGGGACUGAGGGACGGACCAGACUCCUACGGGAGGCAGCAGGGGGGAAUAUGGCACAAUGGGCGGAAGCCUGAGGCAGCAGCGCCGCGUGCGGGAUGACGGGCUUCGGGUUGUAAACCGCUUUCGCCGGUGACGAAGCGUGAGUGACGGUAAUGGGUAAAGAAGCACCGGCUAACUACGUG